AACAAGGCGCGGACAAAGACCUCCAUCAAACGACGUUUUCGUUAUGACAUCUUCCAAACAGCGGGUGUGCCGGUUAAUGGGUGUCAAUUCAAGCCAAUUACAAAAAC
ensembl:ncRNA F14F3.14 ncRNA